UUAACAAAUCUGAAAACUGAAACCUUCCCUCCUCGAUCUAUAGAAACCAAGGCACGUUCAGUGACGUGGGCUUCCUCAUAACAUUUUGCCCUUCCAAUGUGCCUCAACCCUCAACUGGUGGGACCACCUCUAGCAAGAGAGAAUUUCAGUCUUCUUGCACCAGUCAGACCUUAGUCCCU
rnacentral:sRNA from 1 species